GGGACACGUGGUAUCCUGUCUGAAUAUGGGGGGACCAUCCUCCAAGGCUAAAUACUCCUGACUGACCGAUAGUGAACCAGUACCGUGAGGGAAAGGCGAAAAGAACCCCGGCGAGGGGAGUGAAAAAGAACCUGAAACCGUGUACGUACAAGCAGUGGGAGCACGCUUAGGCGUGUGACUGCGUACCUUUUGUAUAAUGGGUCAGCGACUUAUAUUCUGUAGCAAGGUUAACCGAAUAGGGGAGCCGAAGGGAAACCGAGUCUUAACUGGGCGUUAAGUUGCAGGGUAUAGACCCGAAACCCGGUGAUCUAGCCAUGGGCAGGUUGAAGGUUGGGUAACACUAACUGGAGGACCGAACCGACUAAUGUUGAAAAAUUAGCGGAUGACUUGUGGCUGGGGGUGAAAGGCCAAUCAAACCGGGAGAUAGCUGGUUCUCCCCGAAAGCUAUUUAGGUAGCGCCUCGUGAAUUCAUCUCCGGGGGUAGAGCACUGUUUCGGCAAGGGGGUCAUCCCGACUUACCAACCCGAUGCAAACUGCGAAUACCGGAGAAUGUUAUCACGGGAGACACACGGCGGGUGCUAACGUCCGUCGUGAAGAGGGAAACAACCCAGACCGCCAGCUAAGGUCCCAAAGUCAUGGUUAAGUGGGAAACGAUGUGGGAAGGCCCAGACAGCCAGGAUGUUGGCUUAGAAGCAGCCAUCAUUUAA
rnacentral:rRNA from 1 species